AUACGUAGGUGACAAGCGUUAUCCGGAUUUACUGGGCGUAAAGGGCGUGUAGGCGGUCUUGCAAGUCAGAAGUGAAAUUCCUGAGCUCAACUCGGGCGCUGCUUCUGAAACUGCAGGACUUGAGUGCUGGAGGGGAUAGCGGAAUUCUUAGUGGAGCGGUAAAAUGCGCAGAUAUUAGGAAGAACACCGGUGGCGAAGGCGGCUAUCUGGACAGUAACUGACGCUGAGGAGCGAAUGCGUGGGGAGCAAACAGGAUUAGAUACCCUGGGAGUCCACGCCGUAAACGAUGAGUGCUAGGUGGUGGGCAGCAAUGCUCAGUGCCGAAGUAAACACAAUAAGCACUCCGCCUGGGGAGUACGUACGCAAGUAUGAAACUCAAAUGAAUUGACGGGG
rnacentral:rRNA from 1 species